GGGUUGUGAGGUUAAGCGACUAAGCGUACACGGUGGAUGCCCUGGCAGUCAGAGGCGAUGAAGGACGUGCUAAUCUGCGAUAAGCGUCGGUAAGGUGAUAUGAACCGUUAUAACCGGCGAUUUCCGAAUGGGGAAACCCAGUGUGAUUCGACACACUAUCAUUAACUGAAUCCAUAGGUUAAUGAGGCGAACCGGGGGAACUGAAACAUCUAAGUACCCCGAGGAAAAGAAAUCAACCGAGAUUCCCCCAGUAGCGGCGAGCGAACGGGGAGGAGCCCAGAGCCUGAAUCAGUGUGUGUGUUAGUGGAAGCGUCUGGAAAGGCGCGCGAUACAGGGUGACAGCCCCGUACACAAAAAUGCACAUGCUGUGAGCUCGAUGAGUAGGGCGGGACACGUGGUAUCCUGUCUGAAUAUGGGGGGACCAUCCUCCAAGGCUAAAUACUCCUGACUGACCGAUAGUGAACCAGUACCGUGAGGGAAAGGCGAAAAGAACCCCGGCGAGGGGAGUGAAAAAGAACCUGAAACCGUGUACGUACAAGCAGUGGGAGCACAGAGCAAUCUGUGUGACUGCGUACCUUUUGUAUAAUGGGUCAGCGACUUAUAUUCUGUAGCAAGGUUAACCGAAUAGGGGAGCCGAAGGGAAACCGAGUCUUAACUGGGCGUUAAGUUGCAGGGUAUAGACCCGAAACCCGGUGAUCUAGCCAUGGGCAGGUUGAAGGUUGGGUAACACUAACUGGAGGACCGAACCGACUAAUGUUGAAAAAUUAGCGGAUGACUUGUGGCUGGGGGUGAAAGGCCAAUCAAACCGGGAGAUAGCUGGUUCUCCCCGAAAGCUAUUUAGGUAGCGCCUCGUGAAUUCAUCUCCGGGGGUAGAGCACUGUUUCGGCAAGGGGGUCAUCCCGACUUACCAACCCGAUGCAAACUGCGAAUACCGGAGAAUGUUAUCACGGGAGACACACGGCGGGUGCUAACGUCCGUCGUGAAGAGGGAAACAACCCAGACCGCCAGCUAAGGUCCCAAAGUCAUGGUUAAGUGGGAAACGAUGUGGGAAGGCCCAGACAGCCAGGAUGUUGGCUUAGAAGCAGCCAUCAUUUAAAGAAAGCGUAAUAGCUCACUGGUCGAGUCGGCCUGCGCGGAAGAUGUAACGGGGCUAAACCAUGCACCGAAGCUGCGGCAGCGACACUGUGUGUUGUUGGGUAGGGGAGCGUUCUGUAAGCCUGUGAAGGUGUGCUGUGAGGCAUGCUGGAGGUAUCAGAAGUGCGAAUGCUGACAUAAGUAACGAUAAAGCGGGUGAAAAGCCCGCUCGCCGGAAGACCAAGGGUUCCUGUCCAACGUUAAUCGGGGCAGGGUGAGUCGACCCCUAAGGCGAGGCCGAAAGGCGUAGUCGAUGGGAAACAGGUUAAUAUUCCUGUACUUGGUGUUACUGCGAAGGGGGGACGGAGAAGGCUAUGUUGGCCGGGCGACGGUUGUCCCGGUUUAAGCGUGUAGGCUGGUUUUCCAGGCAAAUCCGGAAAAUCAAGGCUGAGGCGUGAUGACGAGGCACUACGGUGCUGAAGCAACAAAUGCCCUGCUUCCAGGAAAAGCCUCUAAGCAUCAGGUAACAUCAAAUCGUACCCCAAACCGACACAGGUGGUCAGGUAGAGAAUACCAAGGCGCUUGAGAGAACUCGGGUGAAGGAACUAGGCAAAAUGGUGCCGUAACUUCGGGAGAAGGCACGCUGAUAUGUAGGUGAAGUCCCUCGCGGAUGGAGCUGAAAUCAGUCGAAGAUACCAGCUGGCUGCAACUGUUUAUUAAAAACACAGCACUGUGCAAACACGAAAGUGGACGUAUACGGUGUGACGCCUGCCCGGUGCCGGAAGGUUAAUUGAUGGGGUCAGCGCAAGCGAAGCUCUUGAUCGAAGCCCCGGUAAACGGCGGCCGUAACUAUAACGGUCCUAAGGUAGCGAAAUUCCUUGUCGGGUAAGUUCCGACCUGCACGAAUGGCGUAAUGAUGGCCAGGCUGUCUCCACCCGAGACUCAGUGAAAUUGAACUCGCUGUGAAGAUGCAGUGUACCCGCGGCAAGACGGAAAGACCCCGUGAACCUUUACUAUAGCUUGACACUGAACAUUGAGCCUUGAUGUGUAGGAUAGGUGGGAGGCUUUGAAGUGUGGACGCCAGUCUGCAUGGAGCCGACCUUGAAAUACCACCCUUUAAUGUUUGAUGUUCUAACGUGGACCCGUGAUCCGGGUUGCGGACAGUGUCUGGUGGGUAGUUUGACUGGGGCGGUCUCCUCCUAAAGAGUAACGGAGGAGCACGAAGGUUGGCUAAUCCUGGUCGGACAUCAGGAGGUUAGUGCAAUGGCAUAAGCCAGCUUGACUGCGAGCGUGACGGCGCGAGCAGGUGCGAAAGCAGGUCAUAGUGAUCCGGUGGUUCUGAAUGGAAGGGCCAUCGCUCAACGGAUAAAAGGUACUCCGGGGAUAACAGGCUGAUACCGCCCAAGAGUUCAUAUCGACGGCGGUGUUUGGCACCUCGAUGUCGGCUCAUCACAUCCUGGGGCUGAAGUAGGUCCCAAGGGUAUGGCUGUUCGCCAUUUAAAGUGGUACGCGAGCUGGGUUUAGAACGUCGUGAGACAGUUCGGUCCCUAUCUGCCGUGGGCGCUGGAGAACUGAGGGGGGCUGCUCCUAGUACGAGAGGACCGGAGUGGACGCAUCACUGGUGUUCGGGUUGUCAUGCCAAUGGCACUGCCCGGUAGCUAAAUGCGGAAGAGAUAAGUGCUGAAAGCAUCUAAGCACGAAACUUGCCCCGAGAUGAGUUCUCCCUGACCCUUUAAGGGUCCUGAAGGAACGUUGAAGACGACGACGUUGAUAGGCCGGGUGUGUAAGCGCAGCGAUGCGUUGAGCUAACCGGUACUAAUGAACCGUGAGGCUUAACCUUACAACGCCGAAGGUGUUU
rnacentral:rRNA from 1 species